rnacentral:rRNA from 1 species
UAGGGAAUCUUCGGCAAUGGACGAAAGUCUGACCGAGCAACGCCGCGUGAGUGAAGAAGGUUUUCGGAUCGUAAAACUCUGUUGUUAGAGAAGAACAAGGACGUUAGUAACUGAACGUCCCCUGACGGUAUCUAACCAGAAAGCCACGGCUAACUACGUGCCAGCAGCCGCGGUAAUACGUAGGUGGCAAGCGUUGUCCGGAUUUAUUGGGCGUAAAGCGAGCGCAGGCGGUUUCUUAAGUCUGAUGUGAAAGCCCCCGGCUCAACCGGGGAGGGUCAUUGGAAACUGGGAGACUUGAGUGCAGAAGAGGAGAGUGGAAUUCCAUGUGUAGCGGUGAGAUGCGUAGAUAUAUGGAGGAACACCAGUGGCGAAGGCGGCUCUCUGGUCUGUAACUGACGCUGAGGCUCGAAAGCGUGGGGAGCAAACAGG